rnacentral:lncRNA from 1 species
UAGUGUACCAGUAUUGGUCAAAUUAGGUGAGGUGUGAUCAAUUCCUAGAGACAUGAUUUAUACUAGCGUGCAGAAGUAGAGCAAGUUAAAGAAGUAGGACAGUAGAAUCUUCCUGAAUCCAAUGCCCAGGUCCAACAAUACAUAUGGCCUAACACCGAGCCCAAUGAAUAACUUACUUAGCGGUAUGAAUGCCAAACUUAAUCAUACAAACGACAGAGCACUCGUGGAAUUAACUAAAUAACUUUUCACACUCAACUCCUAAAGCUAUAACUAAUCAACAUUUAUAACCAAAACAUAUGGAUAAGAUCACAUGAAAUACCGACAAGUUUACAAGGAAGGUUCAAGCUUGUAUUGUUAGAAAUAAACCUAAAGUGACAGGAUUGACCCUCAUAAGAUAGUGAACUAUUACAAAAGACUUUCAAGAGCAAGCUGAUUCAGAAUUAGCCUAAAAGAGCUUUAGCCACAAGAUUUAAACAUGGAAAUCUAAUAGACUCAUAGACACGAUCAAGUAGAGCAUAGCCUUCACACAUAAGUUUUAACAUGAAGGUCUAGUGAAAACAAUAUAACAUAACAGGUUCAUGAUCAAGCAAUUACUUAGUUGAGCAUGAGAAAACUUGAACAUGCUGAGUAUCAGCAAAAACUUAUAGUAAAUAGAAGACAUGUCAGUUUUCAAAUCAAUAGGACAAACAAGCAUCGAACCACGUACUAGGUGGCCACAUAUAGGUAAAAAUGUUGGUAACGAGAUUUACUCUAAAGGUCUUAACUAAUACUGGGGAACACAGGGCUAAGCAGGUCAAGAAAAGCACAUGAUACAAUUACAAAGGCAUGAGAAAAAGUCAUAGCUAAUAGUAGAGCUCCAGAAAGAUAAAGAGUUGGGCAUGAAUAUCUAAACAUGAAUUAGAACACAUUCUAGGCAUGAGUUGGUUAUCAUAAAAGUACAAAACAAAGCAAUGAACCAACUUAGAAUAAGCAACAGGUACAAGCAACCAACUAUUCAUAAACAUGAUAAUUAGAAAUUAUUCAAGUUGGACACACCUAAUGAGAACGCAUUAAGGCUAGCAUAUUAGGCUAAAUAUAUUGAUAGAUUUGCAGAUAUAUAGCAAAUUAUGCAUAAAGGAUUCAAAGUGAAGAAUGCAAUUUGAGAAGGAAGAUAGUUUCAUAAGGGUCUUAAUAUAAGAAAUCAAAACAAGGUUCCACAACCAUCAAUGAGGUUUCAAUUACGAGUCAGGCAGGCAUCAUGAAUCAACAUAGCUAUCCACAAGUGAGUUAAAAUCAGAACUCCCAUAUAAUUAAAGCUAGGGGAACUACAAAGUAGAACUAAAACAAGCAAAAUUGUAUACGAGGGUCAUAAUAUUAAAAUUAACUCUGGGAAAUCCAAAUAGCAGUAAUGCACAUAACACAAACAUGAAUAAAAAGAAGAAGAAGUGUCAAAGUAUAGUGCACUAACCAGUUGCAGACAAACUAAACAAAGGAUAAAGAACUCGAAAACAUCAAUAAUAGCAUGCAAAAUCAAUUAGAAUCAAUUUAAGAAGAAUUAGGCAAACCCUAGUUUGAAAAGAAGAACAAAAAUAGUAAAAAUGUCUCAAUUACUCGGACUAAUA